rnacentral:lncRNA from 1 species
AACUGCUAUUUACAUCCUAUUUGUUCAUAUAUGUCAUAUUAAAAAAUUAAUCCUUUUCAUUGGUAUAUUUGGUUUUAAGAGUAUUUUUCUCAAUACUCUUGGAGGGUGAAAGUCUGAGUUUUUUUCAUAAAAACCAUUCAUUCCCCAGUUCAGAAUUUCUCUGCUAUUUUUUGCCUCUAAGUCCUUUCACGUCAGAAUCUAAAUUCAUUUUUACCACAGGAAACCUGUCUAGCUCGUUGUCAGCCAGUGACAGUGGAAAGGACAGGAUUACGGUCUCCAAAACCCCGCGGCCAGCACCGAGACCAUGAGCAGCCAGAGACAGUGGCCAGGAAGGAGCCGGCAGGCUGCAGUCACAUGGAGGCGCAGAGAGCUCAGUUCAGCCUUGUCCUGGCCUAUGACCCGAGAGGUGUCAGUCUCCCCUGGAAAUGACAUCCCACGACCUGCCAUUGGCCAUAGCACACUGAGUCAGUUGGAUGAUCAGAACUGAUGACUAAACCCGGCAGGACCGGGCUUAGCCCAGGCAGGCUUGCUCAAGCUGACGCUGGGGCCGGAGCCGAUAAACAAUGUGGUGCCAUAGACGCUUGCUCUGUGCCUUCCUUCUCUGCUAACGUGCCUCUGUCAGAAAAGUGGACCAGACAGGGCGUUGCCCACACUCUGAAUCACAAAGACCAUAUUAUAGAGGGUUUAAGAAGAUCCCGUGAAGAAUUCACACCUUCAGCCAAAAAGACCAAGAGUUCCUGGGAGACAAGAAGCAUCCUUCAUUUGAGGGUGUGGGAAGGAGCACAGACAUAUAUGGUCUAUGACCACAGUCAACAGUAAACGGAUCCAAGGUUCUACAGAAACCCCUCAGUCACAGAGCUAAACACACAGGCCAGGCUCAGGAGACAGAGAAGCUGAUGGAAGACCGGGGGAGGCAGAGCAGUUACAGACCCAGCUACUGCUUCAUGUCAAGGUGAGUCAGCAGAUCAGCAAUCACGUGUGUGUGCGCUACAAAAUAGCUUCCUUUCCACUUCCAAAUCUCUCAAGCAUCUCCCCUGUGGCCUAUGUCAUACAAAGAAGAAGAUCUCGGGAAAUUUAGUUCAGCCUGGCCAAAAUGGCAUUUUAAUUAAAAGCCAUUUUGUAGGUUUUCCGUGCCAUCGACUUCACCGCUGAUUUUUUUCUCCUUCCUUCCCCUUGAGAAAACGAGUAUCAAACUGACUGAUUUUAAGAUUUUAAUCUGAAAAUGUUUAAAUGUACCAGGAUGUUUUCUUUAGAAAUAACAAAGGAGCAAAAUAAAAU